rnacentral:sRNA from 1 species
GCUUGGGAUAUAUAUGUGUGAAGAAAGAAUACUUCUUAUAUCAUUCAUCCUCUGACCCAUCCUCCCAUUAACUUCGUCAAGUAUACGUACAACAUAACAUCAUGGAUACUAGUAGUACUGUAGUAGGUAACAAAACUCAAACCAAUGAAUCAGGAAUGACGAUAACACCAAGGAAGCAAAAUAGCAAAGGAGAACUUGAAUUUGACAUCGGCACAUGCUUCCAACCACCGGAGUCGACUGUGUCGUUGAAACAUGAUCGUAUCGCUUAAAAAGAAAUUGCAUUAAAGAGAGGUAUUGACGAAAAAUUCACCGAAUGAAGAAAUUCAUGAGAUGUUUUAUGGAAAGGCGGUUAGGACGAUUUGUCCGUCGCGAAAGGAACUGCGCUGUGUAUAAAUACGGCACAGUGAUUUGAACCACUAGGAAAUCAGUGUGGUUGGGGGUGGGGUUGACGGUACAGGGUGGACCAUCUUUUCCAUCUCCUUUUCGAUGUUAGCGAACAGAGCCUGCAAUUCGGCAUCUGCAUAUAUCUUAAUUGACUCUACCUCCCGGCGGUUAACAAAUGGUGGAGUCCCCGCCCUUGGAGGACUCGGGGGGCUUCGGAAGGGUGUCAGGUCAUCUGCUAGAGCCUCGCCUUCACACUGUGGGGUCCAUAGCGUCAUUGUGCCGGCCAUGUGCUCAAGCAACUUCUGUCGAAUACGAAUCCUUCUAUUUUCAGCAAGGUCCAGCUUGUAGGCCCAUUCGUCAAUGGACUGGUCAAGUUCGGAGAGGGCUUCUUCUUGCUUCAGGAUGCCUUCUCUUGAGAAUUUGGAGACCCGGGGUGACUUGAGGUACGAGAUCAUUCGUGUGUGCAGUCCUCGACGCCCGGAUCGCAAAGACUUGUAGGUUUUGCGGAGAUAAUCGCACCUUUUAUCGAGCGCUCGCAAUUCCUUAUCCCGCCUCAGUAACUUGAAAUAAACACAGGGACAAAGCUCCAAUAUUGCAAAAUCAAAGAAAACUUACCCUAGAAAGUGAUCUGACUUCUGCGUACUUGAGUAUCUCAAAUCGUUUGGCCUGUUCCCACGCUUGGAUUUUCACUCUCUCGAUUUCAUCCUGUGGAAGCAAUUUCGAGGCAGUGUGCGCUGGGAUCCCGGCCGGUAGGAUCAGGAAUGGAUGGUCUGAAGGUUCCUUAUUGGGCUUAGGUACCUCGGCACUCUGUACUGGAGAUUUAUUCCUUGGGGGUGUCUCCGUGAUUGAAUUUUGAGAGAAGUCUGGCUUGUUACCUAGCGGCAUUGAACCCUUCCUUUGCAGCAUGGGCGGUGGUGUGAUUGCGCUGCGAUACGUUUGGCAUACUGCGACACUUCUGUUCCUCGAAUGGCUGCGAGUGCCUCUACCUUCCAGUGGGGGCGGCGAACCCGAUGGGGUUGCGGAUAGUCCCAAGUCAAACGAUCCCGACUGUGUUUCAGCGUUCCUGUCGUGUAAGGGAAAUAUGAAGCUCUGUCCCGAACACUUCUCAGCUGAGGUACUGCUCGUUGGAGCAGCCAACGUUGUAACAGAGGAGUUUGAGCUGGCACUGGAAAAACUGAUCGUUGGCUGGGUAGUUGGGAUUCGGAGACCAAGUCGAGGGGAUUUUGGUGGUACUUUGGGUGGCUGGUCAUUUUCCAGUUUGUUUUUUUCCAGACCUGCAAUGGGCAAAUUACUUUUGGAAGAUCCAACCACGUUUGCAGCAAAUUGAUAUGUUUCCAGCGUAUCAGGAAGCAGUAAUGAGGAUGCCCUUUUUAUUGACUUAUGUCUAUCGUCUUCCAUGGGUGAAGGACCAAGCACUUUUCCAAAUGACUCCCUCGACAAACUUGGUGGCUCGCCAACUGGAUCAAGGGCAGAAUCUUGACACGUUGGUUCGCUCGACGAUACUCCAGGCGCACUAUUUGACCGCUCAUGAGUAGGAAAUUUACCUGGUAUUGUUGCUAUAGGAAAGUUAGCGGUAACGACUGCAAUUAGGGAUAUUAGAGGCACACUUACGCGAAUCUAUGUUCUUUUCCUGGACGGUCGUCAUAGGCCCUAAUUCUGGAACACUAAUUUUACGACGCCGAUAAAGCGUUCCACGCUCCUUAAACUGGUUCUUCAGAUCGCUCAGAUCUGGUGUGCAUCGUCCAGAUGCCAUCCCUGGCUUCUUCCAGAUGGGCCAGAGCUGGUACCUUUGGCGUUCAAUGGGUGUUUGCCUAUCUGAUACUCCAACAUUCAAACUACAGGGAGUCUUCUCACUGGGCUGCUAGUUGGGUCAGUGGCGGUUAAGAUUCCUCUGAAAUAUAGUGAGCAGUUCUUGAAUAACUCACAACAGGGGAGCAGCAGUUUCUGGCGAUGCCAACAUGUGCGACAAGUUCCUGGACCUUCUGUUCAACCGCAAGCAUCAUUAUUUCUCUCAGAUGUUAUGAAAGCAAAUUGGCAUUGGUCUCGGCUCAUGCGAUUGGGAUAGAGGCCUGGUUUCUCUCCUUCUGGUAGGCUCGUUUUCGGGACCUAUAUAUGGUUAUGGCAACGAAUUCAGGGAAUAAUAUAUGUCCCUUCGUUACGGGAUAGAGCUGCUCUUAUCGGCAUCUCAAACGCCAUCCUUAAGCCCCAGCACCGAGUAACCUGCCUGAGUUGUGGGUAUUCUCUAACUUCAUGAUCGGGACAAAAUGACUCUAGUCCACCAUACUAGUAAGGAUCCGGGGUUGAGCCGUGAAUAUGCUGCAACCCAUGAAACGACAUCCAUGUCUGUAAGAUGGAUAAACUUUAUUCGAGUCCAAAUUGUGGGGUCGAAGUACCUGGCCAUGUACUCUCUGUGUACUUGGGUUGAGGUAUCAUGAGGCUAAGUUAGAAGA